rnacentral:rRNA from 1 species
GAUGAACGCUAGCGGCAGGCCUAAUACAUGCAAGUCGAACGGAUAUAUGUUUUUCGGAAUAUAUAUUAGUGGCGCACGGGUGAGUAACACGUACAUAACUUGCCCUCAAGCGGGGGAUAGCCUUGGGAAACUGAGAGUAAUACCCCAUAGAAUUAUUGGACGGCAUCGUUUGAUAAUUAAAACUACGGUGUUUGGGGAUAGAUGUGCGUCUGAUUAGCUAGUUGGUGAGGUAACUGCUCACCAAGGCGACGAUCAGUAGGGGGCGUGAGAGCGUGGCCCCCCCACACGGGUACUGAGACACGGACCCGACUCCUACGGGAGGCAGCAGUAAGGAAUAUUGGUCAAUGGAGGGAACUCUGAACCAGCCAUGCCGCGUGAAGGAUGACGGCCCUCUGGGUUGUAAACUUCUUUUGGAUGGGGCGAAAAAACGGAUUUAUCCUGGACUGACGGUACCAUCAGAAUAAGCACCGGCUAACUCCGUG